UCUUCCGCAUUGGGCGAAGCCUGACUGCGAGCACGCCGCGUGAGUGAUGAAGGUCUUCGGAUCGUAAAACUCUGUUAUUAGGGAAGAACAAAUGUGUAAGUAACUAUGCACGUCUUGACGGUACCUAAUCAGAAAGCCACGGCUAACUACGUGCCAGCAGCCGCGGUAAU
rnacentral:rRNA from 1 species